UACGGGGGGAGCAAGCGUUGUUCGGAUUUACUGGGCGUAAAGGGCGCGUAGGCGGUCAGCACAAGUCAGUUGUGAAAUCUCCGGGCUUAACUCGGAAAGGUCAACUGAUACUGUGCGACUAGAGUGCGAGAAGGGGCAACGUGGAAUUCGUCGGUGUAGCGGUGAAAUGCGUAGAUAUCGAGAGGAACACCUGCGGCGAAGGCGGGUUGCUGGGCUGACACU
rnacentral:rRNA from 1 species